UCAGCAAGCAAAGAGCGAAGCUCCCAUGGCGGAGGGCAAGAUUUGUUGACCACAUCCACCAGCGUCUGGCAGUCCGAUUCCACGGUAAGAUCACGGUUUGUGUGUCCUUUUUGCAUCAGAUCUCGUAGAGUGAGGGUUAAAGCUUGGGUUUCUGUCUGCAGAGCCGAAGAUGCAGCGACAUGGCUUGAGAAUCCAUCUACGAUUCGACCAGCGUGAUCUCGAGUGAUUGAAGCCACCGAUCCUUCAGGAGAUGCUGGGAUAAAAGCUCCAUCAAUGUUAACCUUCCAGGUGCCAGGAAUCGGAGGACGCCAAACACGAUCAGAUGGAAGGGAUUGAAGUCGAGAUGCCGGGCUCGCUGCACAGAGACGACGAUCUGUCAGAGCAUUAGCUAGAGCCGUUCGCACCACCUGUGUUGGAUCAGGAUGAACUCUGCAAAAGACAAAGCUGUUUCUGGCCUUCCAGAUCUGCCACAGAGUAUGCACAAUAAUUUCCAGAUCGGGUAAGAUACUGCUAUUCAUUAAGAUGUCUGUUACCCAAGCAUCCAUACGUUGAGUGUUAUAAGCUGCCGGAUUGAUGUUUAGCUGCGGAUGCGACCAAACUUUCUCUGUCCAUGGACAUAAUAAGAAGAUGUGUUCUGUAGAUUCUGGGGUAUGUGUGGUACAUAACUUGCACAGGGAGUCCGAAAUAACAUG
rnacentral:lncRNA from 1 species